rnacentral:rRNA from 1 species
UGGGGAAUUUUGGACAAUGGGCGCAAGCCUGAUCCAGCAAUGCCGCGUGCAGGAAGAAGGCCUUCGGGUUGUAAACUGCUUUUGUCAGGGAAGAAAUCCUCUGGGUUAAUACCUCGGGGGGAUGACGGUACCUGAAGAAUAAGCACCGGCUAACUACGUGCCAGCAGCCGCGGUAAUACGUAGGGUGCGAGCGUUAAUCGGAAUUACUGGGCGUAAAGCGUGCGCAGGCGGUUGUGCAAGACAGGUGUGAAAUCCCCCGGGNUUAACCCUGGGAACUGCACUUGUGACUGCACGGCUAGAGUACGGUAGAGGGGGAUGGAAUUCCGCGUGUAGCAGUGAAAUGCGUAGAUAUGCGGAGGAACACCGAUGGCGAAGGCAAUCCCCUGGACCUGUACUGACGCUCAUGCACGAAAGCGUGGGGAGCAAACCAGGAUUAGAUACCCUGGUAGUCCACGCCCUAAACGAUGUCAACUGGUUGUUGGACGGCUUGCUGUUCAGUAACGAAGCUAACGCGUGAAGUUGACCGCCUGGGGAGUACGGCCGCAAGGUUGAAACUCAAAGGAAUUGACGGGGUCAUAGCUGUU